CGUGCAGUGUGGCAUGAGCAUUAGAAAGUGAACAAGUAGAAUUACAACAUGAAGGCAGUACUGUUGUUGUGUCUGAUUAUGGCUUGCGCCAUGGUUGCAACGUCGUCACCUCUGCUAAGUAAUAUAGGAGACCCGUCUAUAAAUUUCGUCCCUAAAACGAAUGUCGACAUACCUAUAGCUUCCGACGAACUAGACUCAGGUAAUAUUUAUGAUUCUUCUGGAUGUGGUGGAUCUUCUGGAUGUGGUGGAUCUUCUUGCACUUGCAAACCACAUUCACCACCUUCAUGUGGCUGAUCAACCGUCUAAUCAACAACUCAACACAAGCCAACUCUUCAAUGACAACGCGCAAAACUUCACUACAUUUAAAAGAAUGGAAAAGUUUUAAAAAUUUAAGAAAAAAUUAAUGCAAAAACGUGAAAAAUGCACUUGUAUUGGUAUUUGCACUAUAAAACUGAAUUGAUUUGUAAUUGUCGUAUUAAAAUAAAUAGCAAGCAAAAAUACAA